rnacentral:tRNA from 1 species
GUCGUUGUAGUAUAGUGGUGAGUAUUCUCGCCUGUCACGCGGGAGACCCGAAUUCGAUCCUCGGUAACGGCG